GAUAAACGCUAGCGGCAGGCUUAACACAUGCAAGUCGAGGGGCAGCAUAGAUUGUAGCAAUACAAUUGGUGGCGACCGGCGCACGGGUGCGUAACGCGUAUGCAACCUACCCGUCACAGGGGGAUAAUCCGGAGAAAUCUGGUCUAAUACCCCAUAACAUAUGGAUCGGCAUCGGUUCAUGUUGAAAUUUUCGGAGGUGACGGAUGGGCAUGCGUAGCAUUAGCUUGUUGGUGAGGUAACGGCUCACCAAGGCGACGAUGCUUAGGGGCACUGAGAGGUUUUCCCCCCACACUGGUACUGAGACACGGACCAGACUCCUACGUGAGGCAGCAGUGAGGAAUAUUGGUCAAUGGGCGCAAGCCUGAACCAGCCAUGCCGCGUGCAGGAUGACGGCUCUAUGAGUUGUAAACUGCUUUUGUACGAGGGUAAAGUGGGUUACGUGUAACCUUUUGAAAGUAUCGUACGAAUAAGGGUCGGCUAACUCCGUGCCAGCCGCCGCGGUAA
rnacentral:rRNA from 1 species